CUAAGAUACAAACUGAUUGAAAUAACGAUGGAAUAAGCGAUGAAACAGAUAAACAUAAAUGGCGGUAAAAGGUUCCAUUGUAUCGUGAAAGGUAGUGUAGCGGCACAUGAGUAGAGGACAAUUCAAAUCAUGUUGUUGUUUUGCCUCGGACUAUCAAGAUCGUUAGGAUACAUGUAAUGUAAGAAUAAAUAAAUUCCGAGCAAAAGAAUGUCGCCGCUACGAGCAACCGUCGAACGAAGACGAAUUUGAAUUUUCCGGCUGUCCCCGACCAGUAUAAAUAAACGGACGAAACCGAAAAGAGUUCAGUAUCGACGAGUUAUCUGUGAGUUAUCAAGAGUUAUCUACCGAAUUAUCGACGAGUAUCUAGCGAGUAUUUAUCAGCGAUCUUACUUUGCGACUUAUACACUGUACGAGCGUCCCAGCGAAUAUGGUCUGUAUACUAAUUUAUUAUUUUUAAAUAUAUUCGACGGUUUCAACAACGAACAAUAACAUUUAAUAAAUGUAAUAAAAGGUUCUAUUGUUCAAAAGAUUUUUAACAAAGUACAUGCCCAAGGAAAUGAAUAUUUUCGUGCAAUUACAAGUAUUACACCGAGCUGAAACUCGCUUCUGUUAGAAAUGACUAUCGACCUUCGCAUCCCUCUAAACUCUAAAUCGUCCCCUCGAACAAAGGUCUGCCCAACAAACGCAAAGGGUACAUAAAGCAAUCAAAAAUUAGCCUUACAUAACGAUUCAUAAUGGUGUUUCGCGGUCGAAGAGAACAUUGAUUCAACAAGUUUACGCGCCAAUAAAUCUGAGAAAUUAACGAACCGGCGCGGCGGCAUCGUGCGCGCACGCUUAGUGACAAACUUUACGACAACUUUUAUUGUCUAGUCGGUCUUAACUGCUAUUCCCUGGCUAUUCGUGUACAACUCUACCAUAACGAGAGGUUCGUUCGGAAGGAGGCCUCACCUCCCGGACGAAAUAAACGUCCGUUCAAGACGAGAGGAAUAGUUGGUCCACGAGGUUCAGUCUUUCUCUUCGUAGGUCCUCCUCGCCGUUUAUCGUCGUCCGGCGAAGCUGCUAGAAGUCCUUCACGCACUCUGCACCACUGGUUAUGCGAAGUUAACAGAGACAACUUAAUCGUAAAUCAAACGCGUUAUUGUUGUUAUAUUCCAAAGCGAACUACCAACGUUAUUGGCUGAUGGCUUGAGAUAUUCUUUGGUGGAGGAGAUAAGAAAUUAUUUUUUCCUCUACGCUGAUUAUUUAUUUUUGAAUUAACGCAACCUUGCGCGUUACUUUCGCUUUCGAUGCAAUUUAUUGGUCGCUGGCUUUAUCAAUGCGAUAAGACUGGAAUAGUUGCAAUCAUCGAAUUCAACACGAAUACAAAGAGUUGACGCGACAGUAACUGGAAUACAAGUUGGGAAAAUAAGCGAAUAAAUUUUCUGCAAUAUUUUUGCUCCAGAGUUUCUUUUGUUUUCGAUGCAAUUUAUUGGUUAGAAGCUUUAACAAUCCAAUAAGAUGCUGCAACCACAAUACAUAGGCGUUACCAUGCUUUUCGAAUGCAAGAAGAACGCAAAAGUGGUUCUUCUGGACGUUAAUAACUCGUUAUAAAUAUCGUAAUGGUUGCCACCUUGCAUGCAUGUAUAUGUACACGGAGAAAGCAUUUAUUAAUCUUCUAGGCGGAGCAUCAAGAUGCAAUCUUGAAUGAUUAUUAUACGAAACGACUUAUUGUUCCGGAUCAGCUGUUGAAAAAAUACGCAUCCAUCGAAAGAGUAUCAAUUUCUUCUAAACGCUGCACUUGACCCUAUUUGAUCGAACGAACUGGAAAAUUGCCAGUUCGGAAUAUGAAGUUUUAAAUGAAGAAUCAUAAUUAGAAGAACGGUCUGCUAUGUGCUUAUACAAAUCUCAACAAUUUCCCGAUUCCACCAACCACAGCGGUUAUUAGUAUUCAUGAUUCUAGGUGUGGAAGCUAACAAACGGACGAAGAUUAUUACUUUUCAGAUUCUCGACCGUUACCCAGGAUAUUUAAGAUCGAUUAUUUUUAGAAUUGCAGAAGAUGACUAUGAUACGCUAGAACUUCCUUUUCGUUAGUGCAAAUAUUUUCCCGUACGUUGCUAUACUUAUAAAAUGGGUAAUUUUUUACUUUUAUUUCUAGUACAUGGAAAUUUUCAAUUCUUAAUUGCUCCGUGGAUUCUUUCAUAAAGGAAUGUUCUCGUGUCAAGCGGUUGAAAGAGAUAUGUUCUUAAUUUUCUAUAUUUGAUUUCAAUAACAAAUGAAUAAGAAAAUUUGAAUAAUUUCAAGAAAGCGAUGUAUCAUUUGGACAAGAUAAAAUUUCCAUGUGGAUUAUAUCGACGUUUAUGUGAAUUCUAAUUAUAUUUCAUUCUCAUAUUUCGGAUGGAUGGAAUAAUAUAAAUCGUAGGAGACUAUCAAACUGUCACACUGUGAAAAACAUGUAAUAAUUUAAAUAGUACUAAAGAUAGUUGUAUUUUCUCGAGAUCGCUCAAAAAAUAACAUCUUGAAAUGCCGCCUUAAGGGAGCUUCCGGCGAAACACAAAAAUUUCUAGAACGCUGAAAACGAGCGAUCGAGAAAGCGACAGGGCAGCAGCCAGUUUCUUGUACUACUGCUCAGAAAUGACUGAGGUAACGAACGGUCGGCAGUCUAAUUACUUAAGCGAAGUAGUCUCGUUGUCAGUGGCAGGAAAGAGGCAUUCAGGAACCCACUUCUCGCUCUCUCGACCCUCGUUCCGCUUCUCGACUUCUCUCUGUCUCGCACCAUUGCACGCUUUCCAUUUAAGGAACAACCUCCCCCUCUUCUCAACAGCUGUAGGCGUUUCGAGGGGUAAAACCAAUAACGCUAAGACGUCCUCGAGAGAGUGAGUACAUCCCCGAAAGUACCUCGCAUACCGAGGACGUGCGGCCGCGAACGAACACUAAUUUCCUCUCGACCUAUCCUUGAGUUAGACGUCAGCUACCGACCUGGCUGCGCCUCGCUCUCCUCGUCGCGUCGUUUCUCUUCAACGCUGCCGUCCUUGAUUAACGCCGCGAGUCAUUGUCAGUUCUCGUCACCUGUCGUCGUUGUCGUGUUUCCAGCGGAACGACAGUUUAUCUUGCGACGACGAUUCCCUUUUUUAGGGAAAAUGAGAGUUAUUGAAUCGUUUGUAAGGGAAUAAUAUGAUAGUUUAUAUUGCUGGAAUAUUUUCAUUAUAAUUGUUGAUAGAGUUAAAUAACCGGCAGCAGAAAGAGAUGCGCUACUGAGCAAAUUUUUACAAAAAUAUAACAUAAUUUUAAAAAAAUUGAAUUACUAGAAAAAUUUAAGACAGCUUAAAGAUAAAAUAAGAUAAGAUAUAGACGUUUUUUGAAUUGCAGGUCGAAUGAGGGUAGUAUGAUAGGAUAAGGGAAAAUUAGUCACUGUAUGACAAUCCGUUACAAUUAAUUUUCAUUACACAUUCACUUGUACAUAAGAUUAUUUUAAGUUUUACAAUUUUUAAUUUAGCAUUGCGUGGUACGCAAUUUCAAUCUACUAGCGUGCUUUUACUAUUACAAAACGGAACUGUUCCUCGAUAAACAAUUCAAUCUAAGAAUUUAUGAAUUGAAGGACAAGUGAGCAUCGUACAAAUCUUGCCUCUGUGUCACCUGAUAGUCAUCUUUCCAAUUACUCAUGCUACAAGAAAUAGCCAUUGAACUUUGUUUCACUUAUUACACCUGUGUCGAAGAAAAAUAUACUAACGGAUAAAAUGGAUUAUAAUAUAAAUCACAGAAGAAACAAGAUAAGGUUCGUAGGGACGCGUCUUCAACUAUUCGCUUCUUGCUCAGAAUUUUACCGAUGUAAUUCAAUUGACGGAAAAACUCGUCGGAUCGAGAACAAUUAAACCGCUUCAUCAUUGUCCUGUCAUCCAGGCGACGAAGCCGAGAGCGUUUUGUCGCUGAAGGACGACUAGUCGUUUCGUACCAUCAUCCACUCGAUUCCAUCCUCGAAACGCAGCUACACCAAUACAUAUAUCCCUCUGUGUCUCGCCCCUUCUGCCUCUCGCAGAAAGAACAGAGUUUCCCCUGAACCAGCGUUCAGCCUUUGCGUAACAAAUCGUAGAAACCGUCGGGUUCGUUCUCUUUCAGUUUUGCUGGUUGGCUCGCCGGUCACGUUGCUUUUAAUUGUAGCUGGUAUCGGCGGUGAGCCAGUCGAGAGACGAGAGGGGCCUGGCCUACGCUUCGAAUUGGUUUGGAGGCAAUCGAUGGAUUGUCACGGGAUUCCGGAGAUUGGCGGAAAAAGUGGGAGAAAGAUGGAACUUGUAAAUAGUUCGUCUUGCAUCGACAACCUCUGCUGAUGAAUUUAGCGAAAUCAUCUUCUCUCCGUGUGACUAAAAACGAUCGAUUCGCUGGAUCAUUCGGCCAUCUCACCGUGAUUCAAACAUAUAUCCUAAUGUUCUUGCAAAGGGAGUGCCACGUUUUUGUCAAGGGUUUAUGCUCUUGGUCGAUCAAGGGAAGAAAAAGAAGGUACCAGCUUGAGAAACGCCCCUCGCGUUUCUUUCGUGUCAUUCGAGGAUAUUUGCAGAGGCCGUCGCAUGGUCGGCCGUAUUGGAAACAUUACUGAACGUCUUUGAGAGUUUACGAGUUAGAUACUCGAUGUAGGGAUCGUACCAAGAAAGGAGACCGUUUCCAACGGAUUCUUAGAAGCGAGCGUAAGAGGAACGCCGCGCCGGGAUCAAGUCCUCAUAAAUUUAUCGAUCGUUCUUGCAAAACCCCGCAGAGAGCGGCGUGAACCGAUGAGGACAGCGUCUCAAGACUUUUUCCCAUUCCCAAGGUGAAUAGAAAGUAAUCAACUAUCUCGCGUGAAACGAAAUUCGUGAAAUGUUACUUAAACAAUACUUAAACUCUAUUUGUCGUCGCUCUGUCUCAUCGACUCAUUUUCAUAAUUCCAUCGUUUGUAUAGGGAGAAAGUUUGCGAUCUGAAGCUCUAUCACAUUUAAACGAUGUCUAAAGUCUAUCUCUUGCUCUUUUCAUCUAAAGGCUCAUUUUCGUCAUUCCAUCGGUUCUGUAGAGGAAAAGCUUGCAAUUUGAAAUUCUACCAGUGUACAACGCUGGGAUCAUAAAGCAUGGCUUGAUAAUUACGAGUCUUGGACACGAUCGACUCGCACGAUUGACGUCGAGUCUCUCUCGAUUGCGAUCAAGCCAACGAUCGACGAGGGCUGCGCGAGGUAAGUCGUACCACUAUGAAUCGCGCGGUGCCGCGUACGUGCAAUGAUCCGACUCGUUCUUAAAGCGCCACUAAACUUGCGCGUCACGUUCCUUUUAAUUACGUCUGCCAACGACGACGGAUGCGAAACGGCCGCAGAGGGAGGGACGCAAAGAAUUCAUUAAACGAUACUCUCUGGAACAACCGAGAGCUAUACCAGAACCGAAGUGGGACAGGUGCUGGAUCAUACCUCGAGAAACCGCGAGCUCAACCACGUCUACGACACCACCGAUCUAAAAAGGCAGUUACGUAUUUUUGCAAUCGCGCAGGUGUCUGUUCUGUUGAUGAAACGAAGUUGGGAAGCCAGAUCGGUGGUUGCAAUAAAGUUGGUUUAUUUAAGCUUGUAACAAAUUGAAGAAGGAAGAGAAACCAUUAUUUUUGGAUAAAGGAAUUUUAUAUGAUCCAACGGUGAUUUGUCCGAAUUUGUUUGAAUUUAUAUGAAAGGCUUUUUUCGAAAAGGAGAAAAUUAUUUUUAAGUAUUUUAAAUCACUGAUCUAAUAGUUGGAAAAAUUGACUUCGAUUUAACAGAGUACAUAUGUCUGAAUAUCGUUUGGAUAGAUAAUUUGUGGUACACUUUACGAAAUAUGUUAACUACUAGUUGGCAAACCAUACUAAAUCAUAAUCGAAAUGUGUGCAUUUAUUAAUUAAAACUUCACUUUUCUUGCUUCUGAAUACAUUCACAUACGCGUGAAAUCUGUCAAAUAUCUACAUAUAUUAUCUAGAAAAUAAAUUUAUUGAAUUAAUACAUUUACUGUAACAUAUCAAAGAAAGGCCAAUGCACUGUAAUAUUUCAUUUUUCCAAAUUUUUUUAAUGCAAAUACGUUAGAGUUAAAUUGCAAUUAAAUCAUUCUGAAAUAUCUACGUGGAGAGGGUCGAGAAAAUCUGACUGGUUCCACAACAACCUUGUAUUGCAGUCGAGUGCUUAAAUACCAGCGGAAGGUAACGCGUUACUCUGGCUAUAGCAGAAAUCAAUUAAGAAGUCGGAAAAUUUAUCACGGGUCUACAAGACCGGCUACAGGAACAGUUUCUCAAUACUGGCUAACGUUCGUGCCGUCCCGCGGCUUGUCGCGAUCACCACUUGCAAUUAUCAAUUCUAAUUAACGAUCGUCGCGUCCAGAGUUUCAUUAUUGUUUUUAAUUACCAGUCCUACCGGUCGUUUCUCUAAAUCACCAUUAAUGAAACUAUCUAGCGGCCUGUCACUAGCAAACGGAUUUUUCUACGGAAUCAGCCCCAGAGGCUCGUGAAUCGUGACGCUAUUAAGGGAAACGAUCGUCCUCGAUUUUUCCCGUCAGGACUCAUGCGAUCAGUUUUAUAGCGAUUUCAUAGCAUUUUCACGUCCUCGUGCCAAUUUCAUAGUAUUUUCAUAACAAUUACAGAGCCAUGCACACGACGAAAUCGCGAUCAUUUUACAAUGCCAUAGAAUCGAUAGUAAUUUGUCAUGUAGAAUUUAAUCUUAAUGUUAAGAAAAUUAAUCUGUGGAAGACACAAUGUUUAUGUUGAAAUAAUAUUAGGUGAUAUUUAUUAAACAGAAUUACAGAAUCAAAUGUAUUUAAAAUAUAAGUGAGUGAUAUGGUAUAAUUAACAAAGUAUACGGGUAAAGAAUUUAUGGAUUGUUGACAGUUGACCAGUUACUCUCAGACUGGCUGUAGGUAGUGACCCAUGGUCCCUUAAAGAUUUUGAACCCCACUCUCUAUACAGUAGUGAGUAUGACCUGUGUAAGUGUCCUGCUCAAAUGUCUGUGUAGAUAUCUGUAUAAGAUUAUUUGUGUCUAUGUGUGUAAUAUCAUUGUAUUCCAACAUGAAUAAUAAUCAGAGAUUGAUUUGGUUUUGUUUAAGAGUUACAUUGCAAGACUUAUUUGUAAAUAGUUUAUUUUAGGCAACGCAAGAAUAGGCAAAUAAGAGAAUAAAAUAAUGCAAAUUAUAAUCAAAAAGUCGACGGAAUUUUUCUUAAAAAUCACAUCGAUACGGUCAGUUGUGCGUAAGAACCACAUCUUUCAAUUUUUAUCCACCGCUGUUACGUUCACUCGCACAUACUUCCCUAUAUAAUUCAGUAUAACGCGUGUAAAAAUUCACUCGCUUACAUCAAACAUUAAAUUUUUAAGUCUUCGAGUCAAGUAUAGUCCUAAAUCAAUCUCAACAAAUUUACUAUCGAUAAUCAUUCGUGUUCAUCGCUAAAGGAGAAUAAACCCGCGGCUAUGAAAUAGCG